UGGUGUAAUUUAGCUUUACCUUUUUUUAGAUAAAGUUAUGGGUGCAAAAGCACACCAAAUUUCAUAGGAAAUCAAGCAACAUUACAAAAGAACAACAAAAGGAAAGAAAAAAAUACAUUCAACAGUAAAUUAACAAACUGCGAAUACAUAGAAAAGAGGAACAAAUCCAGCCUUCCUAAGAAACUGCGACAACACCAACAAUAGAGAAUACACCAAGCAGAAGCAGUGAAACUACAACCUAAACCAAUUCCAAAGGCACCAAAUAUCCAACCGUUGCCAAAAUAAAUUAGAUGAGUCUGCAAAAUAAAAAUAGCUUCUGAAUUGGAACAGUCUCAAACUUCUCAUAUUGUUUGAUCUUUUCACUAAAUCAAUCUACACGAGGAUGAUAGAUGAAGAUAUGGCCUCAACAAGGCCAUUCUUUGAAGCCAUAAUAGAUCAAAGCCUUCUUUGUUCCACCAAAUCGAACCUAAAAAAACUGCAACAACCCCAACAAUAGAGUAGUGUUGAAGGCUUAUGCAGAAAAACAAGCCAAAGCUUGGAAGACAGCACAGAGCCUCCAACUACCAACAACAUAUGACUAGAGUAAUCCAAAAUCGUAAUGGAAAAAGUACAAAUUAACAUCCAAAAGCAAGAAGCAAAAGUAGGAAAACCAAGACUAUUGGAGCCAACACUAAACAGCCAGCCAAGCCUCCAACAACCAGAGCAAUCCAUAAUAAAGCAACAAUAGAAAAGAGCAUUGUAAAGGUUUCUGAUGGAGUCCACACCAAAACAACAACACAUAGUUACUGUACAGAACAACCAUGAAGACCCAAGAACAACUAUAAGAUGCUCACAGACAAUCAACUCUUGACCUACUACAAACUAGACCAAACCCUCAACUGCAACAUCAAGGGGAAAAACCCAACAGCUACCUAACAAACAACCACGAGCAGAAGCAAAGAAAGCUACAAAGAACAAAUUAGUGGAAUCUAUAAUUGGGUAAAAUAAAUCUAUUCCUAUAAAAGACAUAGGAAAUGAAUUGCGGAACUGAAUCCCACCAAGAGUAAUGCCUCAAAUUCACACCGAAAUAGGCCAAUUUAUUAGCACAAGAGUUUUAUUCUCUAAAAAUAUGAGACACCCGAAAAUCCAUAUCAACAGUUAGUGAAAUACAAUUCAACCGUCCAUUAAGAAUUGUCCAAGGAACGAUACCAUAGGACUUGAAAUAGUUGACAACAAGCACUAAAUCACAUUCUAGCUAAACCUUUUUCCAACCCAGCCUAUGAGCAAUUUCGAUGGCCAAAAUUACUGAAAGAAUCUAAACAAAGAAAGCAUUUUGAAUUCCAAAGUAAACAACAAAACAUCCAAUAGUAGAUCCCUUAAUGUCCCUGAAGAUACUAUCACCACCUGCAUGACCAAGGGCAGUGUGAGCAGCACUAUUAGUGUUAGCUUUGACCCAACCCGAAAAAGAGGCCACCAUUGAACCUCCGUGAAUGAAGGGGCUUUCUUAUAGUUGAUUUUAACCUGAAAAAAACUUCAACAUAGAAAAAUCAUUAACACAAUUGUUAGCAUACAACUUAGAUAAAUUCCCAAUAAUGGACGCCACCCCUUUGAUUCUACCAAAAGCCUAAUUGUGUCUGGUUCGCUUGUCUUGAAAUCUAGCCUUAUUCCCACGGUCCCAGAUUAUGUUAAUUGUGAGGAUAAUGGCUGAGACCAUAAUUUCCUUAACUUGGGGGGCUAAGACUACUUUGACAGGCAGAAAAGAUAUUAAAGACCGAAGUAUUAUCCAAAUGAGUGUUGUAAGUUGCAGAUAAAAUAUUCCAUAAUUUAGUAGCAAAAGAGCAGGAAAAGAAAAGAUCAGAGGAGGUUUCCUGCUUGUAGAAACAGAGACUACAAGCAGAGGCCAACAUAGAACCUCUCCUUUGGAGGUUUUCAUCCGUAGGCAGCUUAUUAUGGAUUAAGCUUUUGUUUAGAAGGGUGGAGUUAGAGAAGAGAUAAAAGAUAGAGAAAGAAGUUGAAGAGAGGUGUGAAAUUUCUCCCAUUUGGUUGAGAGGGGAGAAAGAAGGGAGGAUGGAAAAAAGUGGGUGGACCCACAAAAUUUCUUUCUCUCCACUUAGAGAGAGA
rnacentral:lncRNA from 1 species